rnacentral:rRNA from 1 species
AGUGAAUAGAUACCCAGGUAGUCCCAGCUGUAAACGAUGCAGACUCGGUGAUGAAAUUGGCUUAUUGCUAAAUUCAGUGCCGCAGGGAAGCCGUUAAGUUUGCCGCCUGGGGGAGUACGGUCGCAAGACUGAAACUUAAAGGAAUUGGCGGGGAGCACCACAAGGGGUGAAAGCCUGCGGUUCAAUUGGAGUCAACGCCGGAAAUCUUACCGGGGGCGACAGCAGAGUGAAGGUCAAGCUGAAGACUUUACCAGACAAGCUGAGAGGAGGUGCAUGGCCGUCGCCAGCUCGUGCCGUGAGGUGUCCUGUUAAGUCAGGUAACGAGCGAGAUCCCUGCCUCUAGUUGCUACCAUUAUUCUCAGGAGUAGUGGAGCUAAUUAGAGGGACCGCCGUCGCUGAGACGGAGGAAGGUGGGGGCUACGGCAGGUCAGUAUGCCCGGAAACCCUGGGCCACACGCGGGCUGCAAUGGUAAGGACAAUGAGUUUCGAUUCCGAAAGGAGGAGGCAAUCUCUAAACCUUACC